GUCACACCAAGCUCAUUGACAAUCUGUCCGGUUCAUUGUUUCUAUCUAAUAAGCCAGAACACACACGUGACAAGGGGUGACUCAGACACAUGUGAAGUCUGCACAGCCUAUAUUAGUUGAAGACACGCAAAGGGGGCGGCAAACUGUUUACCUGACGGGUAGUUGUGGGCUCGUCACUCCCAUUGGGCGACGGUGUCCUCCCUUCCAGCGAUGCUGUGGUGACCGGAGAAGAAGCCAUAAUCCUCCCAGCACCUCCACCAGCAGCAGCAGCGCCUCGUCACUAAAUGAUCCUAACAACACUCCCCGCGCUGUCCCCCAGCAUGCAGACACGCUACUUCUCGCUGCUGCCCCGCAAGAAGACCGAAGGCAGCGACUGUUUCCUGUCCGAGUACAGAGACUCUCUGUCCGGCGACACAGUGGAGCCACUGCCCCUUCUUCGACUGGUGCUCGUAUGUUCGUAGUCUAGUCCAAGUCCAGUCCAGUCCAAGCAGAUGACGUUUUUACUGGUUCUCUGUCUCAGCCUUAAACACACGCACACACGCCAAACACACAAACACUCUCUCUCUCCUGUCACACUCUCGGCACCUAACACCGUGCCGUGGAACAUUAUAUAAAUAACAAGCAGAACCUAUUUUAUGAGGACAUCUCUUUCCUCCUGCGUGUACCCUGGAAUGUGCGUGAGUGCGCGCAUGUAUGUAUGUGUUGCUUUUACAGUAAAUCAUUUGUUGUUGCUCACUCAUAUCAUUUAUUAUAACAUGAUAAAGACCAAGCUGUCAUUUGAGGCUGUGCGACAGAUAUUCGUGUAAAAGCACACGGGCAUUAACAGAAAGCACCGGGAUCCUGUCAGAACCACCCACAUAUAUACCCUGUUGUCUCACUUAGUCAGAACUGUGACACUUCUUGCAGAGAAUGUGUCCUAACAUUGCAUGUCGGCUAUGGAGAAGCAACAUCAGCUACUUGUAUGGCAAGCCGUCUGUGUAAAUAUUAGACACAACAGCAGUCCUUGCGUGAAUGCGCCCAGGAGGAGCCUCUCUUAUACACUCCCAGAAGAAGCCAAUUCUGCAGAUUUUUUUAUUUAUUAUGUAGCUUAUUAGAAACAUUAAGGAAGAUUGCUCAUAAACCCCUUUUUGUCAUGAUCCUCACCUGUUCAUGUUCAUGUUAAUUACACUCACCUGAUUUCCGUUCCAUCUCGUUUGUAUAUAAGUUCCUGUUUUUCUGCUUCUUGUCGAAGGAUUCUUCUGUUGAUCUGUUCUUCCGUUGGCAAGUUGCCUGCUUCAUGUAAAUUCUUCAGUCUUGAUUAAAUGAUCCAUCCUCA